rnacentral:rRNA from 1 species
UACAGAGGUCUCAAGCGUUGUUCGGAUUCAUUGGGCGUAAAGGGUGCGUAGGUGGCGCUGUAAGUCAGGUGUGAAAUUUCGGAGCUUAACUCCGAAACUGCACUUGAUACUGCGGUGCUUGAGGACUGGAGAGGAGACUGGAAUUUACGGUGUAGCAGUGAAAUGCGUAGAUAUCGUAAGGAAGACCAGUGGCGAAGGCGGGUCUCUGGACAGUUCCUGACAGCUGAGGCACGAAGGCCAGGGGAGCAAACGGG